AAAUUGAAGAGUUUGAUCAUGGCUCAGAUUGAACGCUGGCGGCAGGCCUAACACAUGCAAGUCGAGCGGUAGCACAGAAGAGCUUGC
rnacentral:rRNA from 1 species